CCUUUUGAAAUUAGACACAGCUUCUGGAAUCGACCCCAGACACUGCUUUUCAAGCCAGAAGCAUUUGUAUAAGCGUUAUCAAUCAUGCCACUGGCUCGUAUUGCUACUGUAUAUUCACCUUCUACCUGGUUUGAAUUCCUAAUUGGCCCUGCUGUGCAACUUGAAGCCCUGAAGAAAGUGGUGAAAGGGAAGUGGGGGAGAGUAUGACUUCCCCAGCUGGUAUUGGGAGACUUUCUUGAAAAUUACACUGACAAAUUCUGUUUCCUGGAGAAAAUAGACAAGAAGCAGUUGGUAACAGGGAGUCUGAAGAAGAAAUUAAUUUCUACACUUUUAAAAUACCCUUCUGCCUACACCUAUUUUAAAUGGAUUUAACAAGAACUGCUGAAAGCUGAGAUUUUGAUUGCCCAAAUCCCAGCUUUGUUUCCAGAAAUCUGCUGGGUUUUUUAAUUCAUGAGAGAGGAAGAAGCUGCCAUCACAGCAGACAAGGUAAGAG